CUCUCAACCAUGUCGCCCUGUUCACCCAGAGCAGAAAUGCUGGCAGCUGUCAUGGACAAGUGAGAUGAGGCACACGUCUCCAGGAUGACCCACGGGCUUCUCUGCCUGUCGCUGCCAUUUUCAACCCUGCUGCCUCUUCCCCUCCCCGCUCUGUUUUCCUCUGUCUUCCUCUCUCCCUCCCUCCUUCUUCUUCUCUCCCCACCCCACUCUCUUCGAAGGAGAAUUAUAUUCAGCUCUGUGGGUUGUUUUUAAUGCAUUCCAGAUGCCAGAAGAAAUCUUGGCCUGGGCUCAGCGUUCUUCUGACUUCAGGCCUCUCCCCCACCUACCUCCCUGUCUGACUCCCAAGGCCACACAAGGAAAAAUCAGCUCCUGGUGUUUGGUGACAGAAGGAGCAGGCAGGGCAGAUCGAAGGCAUAAGUGGAGUCCUGUGGUUUCUGAACAGGCCAACAUUCACUUGAAUAAGAAAUGAAAAACCGAGAAGAUAGUUGAAGAGCACAGGUGCUUCUCUAGAAGGACUAAAACCUAGAAAUUAAUUCAAUUGGCAUUUUGAGGGGAGAAGAGAAGAAGAACGGCUACUCCUCUGAAUCAACAUCAUGCAUAGGUUGGGCCGCUGCUGUUACUAUACCAAGAAUGACUGAGACUGAGUACUUAAAAGAAAAAACUUUGGAGACUGGAAAUCCAAACAGCAUGGCAUCUUCUCAGAUGAGAGAAUCCCUUGUCUUCAUCACCUCAUGGGGAAAAACAUGCAAAAAAGAAAGAGACACACAGGAAGCCAGAGCGAAGGAGAGACCAGCCUGAGGACCGCCUAAGUAUCACUUUUAGAUAUCUCAACAUGCCACCCACCCAUCACCACACCAAGAACCCAGCUUCUAGCACAUGGACCUUUGGGCAAGCCACACCCAACACCAUACCAACAUUCAGUGCAAGUUAGUUCUCAGGAUGGAUGAGGGGAUAGUCAGACAAUACUUGGUCCCACGCCUUUUAUUCUCUUGUUAGAAUAAAUGUGUCCCAUCACGUAGG
rnacentral:lncRNA from 1 species